GGAGGAAAGUAGGGGAUCGAAAGACCUUGCGCUUAAGGAGCGGCCGAUGCCUGAUUAGCUAGUUGGUGGGGUAAAGGCCUACCAAGGCAACGAUCAGUAGUUGGUCUGAGAGGACGACCAACCACACUGGGACUGAGACACGGCCCAGACUCCUACGGGAGGCAGCAGUGGGGAAUUUUGGACAAUGGGCGCAAGCCUGAUCCAGCCAUGCCGCGUGAGUGAAGAAGGCCUUCGGGUUGUAAAGCUCUUUCAGUUGGGAAGAAACGAUUGCAACUAAUAAUUGUAAUUAAUGACGGUACCGACAGAAGAAGCACCGGCUAACUACGUGCCAGCAGCCGCGGUAAUACGUAGGGUGCGAGCGUUAAUCGGAAUUACUGGGCGUAAAGGGUGCGCAGGCGGUUUUGUAAGUCAGAUGUGAAUSCCCGGGCUUAACCUGGAAUGCGUUUGAAACUACAAAGCUAG
rnacentral:rRNA from 1 species